AAAACAUGUUUAUUAUGAAGUUAUUUAUAGUCUGGCCUGCUCCCUGACUAUAAAGUUAAAGAGCCGCGGUAAUUUGACCGUGCAAAGGUAGCAUAAUCAUUAGUUUCUUAAUUGGGAACUUGUAUGAAAGGUCUGACAAAGGAAAAGCUGUCUUUAUUGUAAAGGUUGAAUUUAACUUUUAAGUGAAAAGGCUUAAAUGAUUUAGAGGGACGAUAAGACCCUAUAAAGCUUUAUAUAAAAAAUAAUCAAAAUUGAAUUUAUAAUAAAAAUUUAAAUUAAUUAUUAUAUUUUAUUGGGGUGAUAUUAAUAAAAGUAAUAUUAACUGUUAAAAAAAAAAUACGUGAAUAAAAGAAUUGAAUAUAUUAAUGAUCCUUGUUUAAAGAUUAAAAGAUUAAGUUACUUUAGGGAUAACAGCGUAAUUCUUCUUAAGAGUUCAUAUCGAAAGAAGAGAUUUUGACCUCGAUGUUGAAUUAAAAUAUCUGUGUAAAGUAGCCAUUACAUGAGAAGGUCUGUUCGACCUUUAAAUUUUUACGUGA
rnacentral:rRNA from 1 species